rnacentral:pre_miRNA from 1 species
GAUACUUGAAAAGAGAUUUUCCUUAAGUGAAUUUGUUGUUUUUAUGACAAAUCAUUCUUAGCCAACCUCUAUUCAGUAUC